rnacentral:piRNA from 1 species
AGAUGAGAAAAUUGAAGGCCAGAAAAGU